UACGGGGGGUGCAAGCGUUGUUCGGAAUGACUGGGCGUAAAGGGCUCGUAGGCGGCCAACUAAGUCAGACGUGAAAUCCCUCGGCUUAACCGGGGAACUGCGUCUGAUACUGGAUGGCUUGAGUUCGGGAGAGGGAUGCGGAAUUCCAGGUGUAGCGGUGAAAUGCGUAGAUAUCUGGAGGAACACCGGUGGCGAAGGCGGCAUCCUGGACCGACACUGACGCUGAGGAGCGAAAGCCAGGGGAGCAAACGGG
rnacentral:rRNA from 1 species